rnacentral:rRNA from 1 species
CGGGGUGCAGCAGGCGCGAAAACUUUACAAUGCUGGCAACAGCGAUAAGGGGACCUUGAGUGCCAGGAUACAAUCCUGGCUGUCGUGAUGCCUAAAAAGCAUUAUAUAGCAAGGGCCGGGCGAGACCGGUGCCAGCCGCCGCGGUAACACCGGCGGCUCGAGUGGUAACCGCUAUUAUUGGGUCUAAAGGGUCUGUAGCCGGCUUGGUUAGUCUCUUGGGAAAUCCGGCAGCUUAACUGUCGGGCUUUCAGGAGAUACUGCCAGGCUCGAGACCGGGAGAGGUGAGAGGUACUUCAUGGGUAGGGGUGAAAUCUUGUAAUCCUUGAAGGACCACCAGUGGCGAAGGCGUCUCACCAGAACGGAUCUGACGGCAAGGGACGAAAGCUAGGGGCACGAACCGGAUUAGAUACCCGGGUAGUCCUAGCCGUAAACGAUACUCGCUAGGUGUCGGCCACGGUGCGACCGUGGUCGGUGCCGUAGGGAAGCCGUGAAGCGAGCCACCUGGGAAGUACGGCCGCAAGGCUGAAACUUAAAGGAAUGGC